AAUGUCAUAAUGUGGGUACAAACUAACAGUAUAGGAACAAGGACAUUGAUAAAAAUUGAAAAAGAAAAAUUGGAAAUUUAUUCAGAGAAGAAGUAGCAUCAAUUGCCUAGGGAAUAAGUGCCUGCAGAUGUUACACCUUGGUCCCCAGUAUGCUUGAAACAAACUGGAGACUGAUCAGUUUCUUACAGUAUCAGAAGACAGCAGCCCAGCUACAGCUAACCACACAAAGAGAUUGAAGAACACUGAGCUGCCAAGGAGUAGUGACCCAGCAAGAAUCAAGGUAGACUUAUCUGGGCCUGUCUGCAAGCCUUUUGCUCUGUCUUCCAUAGGAGAGAAGGAAUCUCUUCUGCCAACACAUUGUCUGUUUAAAUGGCUACUGCACAGAACCAAUCCACUUUACAAGACUCUUUAAAAUUUUUCCUUGUCAACAGUCCGUCCAAUCCAAAGUUCAUAAUUAGAGAUUUCCAGUCUGUGUUGUUUAAUUCUAUGAACUCUACUGCAUUCUUCUCUGCUUCCCCUUCAUCUGCUUGGCAACUGGGCAUUGGAAAAUUUAGUCUUUAAAAUAUGGAGCCAAGAAAGAAUGCCUACACAGGCACUCACAUCUGAACAGCCCCCUCUCCUCAUCAAACAAUACAAUAGCUGUUGAAUCCGCAAAUCCCGCUGCCACGGCCACUUGCAGCUGCACUGCAACUGUCGUCAGUAAUUCCCUACAGAACAGACCAAGAAGUAUUAAUGCAGUUCCAAUGGUUUGCAGUGUUCUAUUUGCAGUGCUUAUAUAAUCAAAAUCAAGUGUUGUCUUGUAGUAAUAUCACUCCCAAAGUCUCUAUCUUCUGAUAAGAGGUUAACUUAGGUGGCAAGAUGGUAUCAAUAGGAUUCUUGAAGCAUGCCCAGGCACAAAUAACUAAAGGCAUAUUUCAAAAAAAUUUGGUUACCAAACAGGAAAAACCUAGUAGAAUUAGCAUAAAAUAGGUAAAAACUGGAAAAUCACCAUGUUAAUUUGAGCAGGUCAUUCAAGUACAUGUGGUUUUGGCCUCUUAAAUAUUCAAUCACAAGUACAUUCUAUAUGAUUUUAAGCUACUACAGAAGUAUGAAAAAGAAAAUUAUGAGAAUGUCAACCAGUGUGGAAACUAAUUUCCUUAAGUAACUUCUCUCAAUAUCCUUUUCCUUUAAGACAAUACGGUUACAAGUUGCAACUUAAUUUUUGUCUCCGGACUUACCAUGUGAACGUACUUGAGUCUGAUUGUAACUCGACCCAACCAAGCAAGGGCCAUCCAUAGUUGAUACUAUUGACGCUGGUUGAUGGAAUUGAGUCCCAGGCUAGUCCAGCUUGACUAAUAGUCAAAUAUGCUCUCAAAGCGAACUUUCCUGAGAUUGAGAACAAACCUUGAAUCAUAAAAAGUUCAGGAAAAUAAAUCCGGAGAAUAUUUAAUAUAGUCAACAACCAACUCUUCUUCCUUCAUAAGAGGUGGUGAAUUAGCUCAUAAUAUAGAAGAGUAAAUUUUGUGAAGAUGGGGAAUAAGCUCAAAAUCAUAAUUUCUAUACAAAAUCAGAAAGUUCAAUGAGAGAAUUGCACUCAACUACUAAAAGAUAAUAACAACAUCAAAAUAAAAAACAGAAAAAAAAAAAGAACCGUAAAAGUCUUAUAGACAAGACAAUUUAAUUACAAUAUUCGUCGUGGGAAUUUUGUGGUAUAGACCUUCAUUUAGACUUGGACUUUUUAAUUUUCUUUAUGAAUAAACAAUUGGCUCCUGCUCAAAUGAAAAAUGAGAACCAAUGCUCAGAGUCACAGACAGAGGUGUAGGCAUGGCAAUGCCAAUUUUGCAAAUGAUCAUUUGGUCAUAGUCAAAACCUCAGAAAAGCCAAAACAAGAACAAUAUAACAUCAAAAUUGGGACAAAAACAUGUGUAGCAACUACAUAACAAAGAUUUGUGUCAAUCUGCUCACCUUUUAAAGGUGGUCCACUGGGUUAGUGCAAAAUAGACUAACUUUUUCUUUAUAGGGGCCCUCAAUCAGUGUUGGCUGCUGAACUAGAAGAGAGUUCAGAUAACUAAAAAAUUCUAUAAAUUCAAUACCAUAAAAUACCUCACAUAAAAAUGUUGCUUUUGGAAUUGUAGUUUUCCAAAUGUUCCCAAAUUUAAAAAUACAUUGGCAUAAAGUUAUUGAUGUUUACCUCAUAUUUUUUUCCAUGGUCAUAUCAAACAUUGUUCACAUAGUAAGUCUUCUAUGCUGAUCCUUGUUACUUAAUAUGAGACACAGAAAAGAAAAAGUAGUGAUCAAUUUAUUUUGAUAUCAAAGGGAGCAAAGCCAUAACAUGUAUAUUACAUAUGUAGCCAACUAAGUACAUAUUAUGAUGUGGGUAAGAUUCAAUACAUAUUUCAAUAACCAUGAAUUACCUAAAAAUGUAUCCACGUGUUCUUAUAGGGGAUAAACACACAAGUAGCUAGGAGUCAUCUCUGCCCAUUUCGAAAGGUAAAUUGAUGGUGUCAUGAAAAUAUGAUAACUGGCUUCUUUAAAAUAUGAAUUACCAUGGAUCAAUCUUUCUUUACUCUUCUUUACUUCAUUAGAAAAUUCUUUUUUUUUUAAAAAAAAAGAUAGGGCAGAGCAUGCUGCAUAACCAAAUUCCCAAUAAGAAGGCUAGAAAAUGAGUUAUGGAGACAUGCAACUAUAGAGAUUGUUAGAAAUUUUGAAACAUGAGUACUUGGCCAGCUACUUUAUGAAUUGGAACAUAACUUUUUUAAAGAAAAUAAGUCUAAGCAUAAAACAAAUUACCUGACGGUAUAUUGAUCACUAUUUUUGGAGUUGAGAGAGGGCAAUUUCAUAUAUACAAGAUCAUGGGAUUAUGUUCCCUCUAGAACUCAAUUUUGCUUGUCAAUAGCCCGUGUACCACAUUCCUCUCUGCUCCCCUUUCAUCUGCUUGGCAAUCGGGCAAUUGAAAAAAUUUCAUCUUUAAAAUCUAUAUCCAAGAAAGAAUACCCAUAUAGGCAACAAUUUGGACAACCUCCCCUCUUCAUCAAGCAAUACAAUGGUUGUUAAAUCCACAAAUCCCACUACCAUGACUACUGGUGUCUAUGCUGCAAAUGUCAUCAGAAAUUGCCUGCACGAUAGACCAAGAAGAAGCAUUUGUUUUUAAAACCAGAAGCUUCUAUAUAUAAGUAAAGCAUCUUAUAUAAAGAGUAUAGAUUUACCUUAUCUAUUUAAAAAUCACAUUUUCAAAAAUUUUAAAAUUUGAGAGAAUAAGAAUCUAUUUGGUGAAGUUUUUAAAAAUAAUUUUAUGUUUUUAAAAAUUGAAAACAGUUUUAAAAAAUUAAUAACACUGUUUGGUUAUUCUUCUCAAUUUCCUUUUUAAAAACAAAAUAAAAUAAAGAACAACUUUUAAAGAACAAGUAAAAGUUAUUUUUAUCCAUUUUUAAAAAUAAUAGAAAAACAUAUGCACUCUAUUAUUUCUCUUCUACAUAGAAUUAUUAUUUUUCAAUUUUUUUGGUUAAGUAAAUUAACUCCAAAUUAAACAAAAUUUAAUGUGUUGUAUUUGUUAACAAGUCUAUUAAUUUUUAAAAAUAAUUUAAAACUUAAAUAAUAAACUCAUUAAUACCAUAAAUUUAUUAAUAUAAUAAAAUAUCUUUUUUUCUAACAAAUAAUAAAAUAGUAUAAUUUCUACUAAAAAUAUAAUUUAUGAUUUUAUUAUAAUAUUACUAUUUAUGUUUUACUAAAAACUAUAUAUAUAUUUUAAUUUAUUUGUAAUUACAAAAUUAUUUUCAUUUUCAAUAAGAAUUCAAUUAAAUUUAAUUAAUUAAUAUUAUAUAAAUUGAAUUAAAAAUAUUUUUACAAAAUUAUAAUAAUUUAAAAGAAAAAAACAAUUGAUCCGAACAAGUUUUUUUUUUUUAAAUCCUUCUAUAAUAAUAACUUACCAAAUAUCCUUAAUUUUAUAAAACAUUAAAAAAAACCUUUUUUGAUUCUUUAACAUUAAAAAAGUUUCUAAAAAAAAACAUAAGAAAUCAUGUUCAAACAACAAAUUUUAAAAAAUUAAUCAAAGUAUUUAAUUGACUUGUAUUAAAAAUGAAUAUUAAAAUUAUUUUUAUAUUAUAGAAAUUUUUGUUUCACUAUAAUAAAAAUAUUGUUUCAUAAUUAAAAACAAAAUUAUUUAUCUUUAAUUAAUAUAUAAUUGUAUAUUUAAUUUUUAUUUUUUAAUAAGACUUAACAUGAAUUUGAUUUCAUAUUAUUAUAAAUUAAUUUUAUAAAAUAAAAGUAAUACAUUGUUUUUAAAAAAUAAUACAAAUUCUUUCAUCUUAUUGUUUUUUGUUUUUUAAAAAAUAUUUUUUAAAAUAUCUUGCCAAACAUUCUGGUUUUUUUAAAAAAAAUUUUGCCCUAAAUUUUUUUUGAUACCUUGAUUGUUUUAAACAGUUUUUAAAAUUAUUAAUUUUUCAAUGUAAGCCUUUAAGAGUUAAAAUACAAAAGUUACUGUCACUUAAUUUUAGGCUUAACAAUGUAGGAGAUUUAAGUGGAGGCAAGGAAUUAAGCAGAUAUAUUCUUGAGAUUAGAAAUUUGGGUGGAACAUCAAUUUUGUAAAGAAAUUAAGUUUAAGCACACAACAAUUACCUGCCCAUGUGUUGGUGCACUGCCACUCCCAUUAAAAUAGCACCCAAUCGAUCACUAUUUUUGGAAUGUGAGAUAUAUAACGCCAUUCUUGCCCUUUCUCGAAUUGGAGCCGUUGUUCCAGCAAAGGACACGAUCCGACAUCCAGAGAACAGAGGGAGUCUGGCAGUCUCUCUUUUGUCAAGUAUUGGAGCUUAGGGCAACGGACGAUACUUAAGGUUUCAAGAGUGGUGAGGUGGUGAAGACCCGCUUCUGUCAAGGAUUGGAGCCUUCUGCACGACCAGAUUUCUAAUUUCUUGAGAGAGAUAAGGCGUUGAAGAACAGAUCCUGUCGAGAAUUGGAGCUCAGGGCAGUUCUCGAUCCAUAAUUCUCGAAGAGAGGUGAGUUGUUGAAGCCCCUUGUUGUCAAGAGACUUGAGAUUUGGAAGACCCCAGAUUGAAAGAUGAGUUAGAGAAGAGGGCAGCAGACACUCCUUGGGAAAUAAUUCCACGCCUUCACAUCCACCUCCGAUUGUGAAAUGAGUAAGAGAGGUCAGUCUUUGCAAAUCCCAGUCCACCUGUGACGUGAGUUGGUUGCAGCGCCAUAUUGCAAGUUCCCGUAGGUUGGAAGGCAAACCCUCCCUGUGCAACAACAAUUCUGGACAAUCCGCUAAACACAGUUUCUGCAGAGAUGAAUGGGUGUGCGCCAGCAAUUUGAGAUUGGAGCAAUUCCAAAUAUCAUGGUACAUCGAGUCAAGAGCAGGCAGUUGGAUGUAUACAAGAUUAAGGCACCGAUGGAUCUUCAAAUUACGAAGAGAUGUGGGAUCCCCCUCUGAAAUCGAGAUGCAGAGCUCCUCAAGCCCCUUAAGACCAUUUAUUUCGAAAUCAGUCAACCUGGGGAAGAUGUCCAAUACUGAGAAGGACAACAAGAGAGAAUCACAGGUACCGCCAUUGAUUGAUAGAUUUUCGAGAACCGGGUGAUGGCAUCUGAACAACUUAGGUAGAAGAAGGUCCAAUUUGGUACAAUCAGAGAUUGAUAACGAUUUCAAUGUAGUGGGUAAGCCAACUUUGUUUGGGGAUCUGUAAAAAGAGCAAUCACAAAUUUCCAAACUGUACAUGUUGGUUUGCAGGAUUUCCUCCUCUAGUAGAGACUCCACAUAAUCACAUUUUCUAAUGUAGAGAUAGUGGGGUACCAGUGGAAGUUGCUUCAACUGAGAGACGUCUGAAAUUUCAAUUUUUGAAGUUUGACUAGCUGUGAACCCACAAGUUUGCCUUUUCAACUGCAAUUCACGGGCAGCAAGAACGUUGAGUGUAGGCACAAGCAGCUGUGGGCAAUUUCGAAGGUUAAGUUCCUUCAAUAAAGGAAGGUGCAUUGGUAAUUCCCCAGUGAGUUUUGGACAGUUACUUAUAGAAAGCUCCUGGAAACGAGGGAAUUCUCCAUGUUUGCCUCCACAACAUAACCAUUUCUCCCAAUUGGACAUAGAGGAAAAUGAUAGAGUUUGCAGGGAUGGGAAGGAGGGAUGAAGCGAGGAAGAAGAAUUCCCAUAAAACUCACUACCCACCCUCACUACUCCAUUCAUUCCAAAGAUCUUUAUAUGUUCAAGACAAGGUAGCUGCCCCAGUGGCGGCAAUGUUGAGCAAUUCCUACAAUUCGAAAGCUGAAGGGAUACGAGAUUUGAAAAUGAUCCGUCUCCAAGCCAAUCUGGAAAUGUUAGACCAGGAUACCCUCCAAUGGACAACUUUUUUAAAUUUGGAUGAGGUGUUAGCCUGUUGAGAAUAUCAUCUUGUAUAGCAUCAUGACUAAUCCCCCGACUCCAAUUCAAGGAUAACUCAUCAAGGUAUUUCUUAUCCUUCAUUUUCGCCUGCAAUGCAUCCUCAACACCCACCACAUUCUCCAUUUUUGAAAUUUCAAGUCUUCCUCGAAUCUCUGAAAGCUUCCACAAUUCUCCAAAUCUGAAUCCACUUUCUUUGCCCACAGUAAAAUUAGAUAAUUUCUGCAAACUUUUUAAUUGACCUAUAUCAUUUGGCAUUUCUUCCAAUGAAUUAGACCCACUAAUAUCAAGAUAGCGCAAAUUAAUCAACUUCCCCAUUUUUGAAGGCAAUUCAAGAAGAGAAUCACAAUUACUCAGCAUCAUCGUUUGCAAAUUGCACAAACAACAUAUUGAUUCAGGUAAUCUUUUAAUCCAUGUUGUAGAGAGAUCCAAGUAACGCAACUGUUUUAAAUUGUGUAUUGAAUCAGGCACAUCUCUUAUGCAGUAUGCACGCAAUGACAACACCCGCAAAGAUUUAAAUUUUGGUAAUAUAUUGUGUAAAACUCUUGUACUCAACAAAUAAGGAGGCCAUGAUGUCUUCACCUCUAAGAUUGUUCUGAGAUGUUUGGCUUCACCAACAGGCUCAAAAGUUUCAAACACAGCUCCCCGGUCAUCGUCACUUUCAAAGUGGAAAAAAUGGCGAGCCUUAUCAGAUAUUUUUGGCAGCUUACAAUCUUCCAAUCGAAUGCAAAAUUCUUGGGAGAUAUGUUGAGCCAAGUCAUGUAUCAGAUCAUGCAUUACAAAGCAUGAUUUUUCUCCUCUAAUACAUUUUUGAAAAAACGACUUUGCUAAAAGUUCAUUUAAAUAUGAAUCACCUACCUCUUCCAUUCUUCUGUUACUUUGUCCUGAGUGUAAAAACCCUUCUGCCAUCCAUAAUAGAAUCAGCUUCUCUUUGUGGAAUUCAUAGUCCUUGGGAAAAUUUGAACAGUAAGCAAAACAACGCUUCACAGGAGGAGAGAGAUGCUGAUAACUCAAUCUAAGAGACGGAAGAAUUUCAUGAUCAGUUUGGGAAUGCCACGUUUCGCUAUUCAAAAUAUCUUCCCAUUCUCCUUUUUCGGCCUUGUAGUACAAGAGGCUCCCGAGUGCUUUAACAGCCAAAGGCAAUCCUUGGCACUUGUCCACAAUCUUUCUUCCUAUGGGCUCAAGCUGUGGAUAAGCGCUGGAGUCUCCAUUUGGAAAUGCAAGUUUUGUAAAUAUGGACCAACUAUCUUCAGGGCUUAAUGUCCCCAAAUGAUGAGUAGGGACUGCUCGCAUGAUUUUUGCAGCAGUUUCACUGCGACUAGUCACAACAAUCUUGCUUCCCUCUGCUGCAGUGAGGAGUGGAUUUCGUAGGCCUACCCAAUCAUCAGACUUCAUAUCCCAGACGUCGUCCAGAACAAGAAGAAAUUUCUUGUUACCUACUCUCUCUUUGAGUUUAAGCUGAAGCAAAUUUAGGGUGUCAUCAGGUUUAGUUUCAGAACCGAUUUCCUUGAGAAUUGAUUUUGUCACCUCCUCGAUGAGAAAAAUCUGAGUGGAAACACAGACCCAUGCUUUCAAGUGGAAGUGUUGCUUGACCGUGUCAUGGUUAUAGAGAAGCUGAGCGAGUGUGGUCUUGCCGUUGCCGCCGAUGCCCACUAUGGACAUCACAUCUAUGUUGUUGCCUGUUGCAUUUUCCUUAUCAGAAAGCAACCACUUCACCAUCUCCUCUUUGAUUCCAUCCCUGCCCACCACAGAGGACUCAUCCACCAAAGAAGUGGUUGGUGGCCUUGGUGACAGUUUAUCGCCCUCACCUUCUUUCAGCCCAAGCUUCUCUUUUUCUUCAGCAAUAUCUUCAAGCUUAGCAAUCAUCUCCUUCACCCUGGACUCCAUGCUUUGAUUGGCAAAUGGAGCCUUAACCCUGGUAGAGAACUUGUUCCACACCUGAUAAAUUCCACCAGGUUGGGAGUCAGCAGCUUCAAUCUCGCACCGCAAGGCUUCGGUAGCGAUCUCGUCCAACAGGUCCUCCGCAUGAUACACAGCAUCCUUAACCUGGACCAGCCAGUCUUUGACUAGUGGGUCUGAAAAUUGCUUCAUCUCCGCAUCAUUGAGCGCUUUGUGGACAACCAGCAAUUUCCUCUUCAAUUUGUUGAGGAGUUCAUGGCUAAGCUUCUGUCCCCGGAUGAAGUUCAUCAACUCCGGAGAAGUCAACCUGUCGAAUAGAACUUGAAGUGAAGCGGAUAGGAGUGCGUCGGCCAUAUCUGUUGACUGUUGCUUUGCAAAUCAAAGGAACUCAGCGAUUCAGUUCAGGAAAAAACGAAGGUAAAGCAGAUGCAGAAUCACACCACCAAACUGUAGUGGACUGGUUUGAACACGAGAUCCAAAAAUAAUGGAAAAAUAAAGAAGGCCACAGAGAGGCACAUGGGGCUGCACCAAACACCAAGGGAUGCACAUGGUCUGUCACCCUCGAGCAUAAAACUCAUGUUAUGUUUAUUAAUGACUCUUAUCUUUUUCAAAUCCAUAUAUAAUUUUAUCUAUAACUUCAUGCAUGUUUUUUUCAAUUGUUAGUAUUGAUUUUUUAUUUUUUUGUUUUUAAUAUAUUGGUGAAUCAAUUGGUGGAGUUGGGGCAGAUCUUUUGACAUUGAUCUAGGUCUUCAAUUUUUUCUAGAUUUGCUCUUUAGAAUAUUGUAUUUUAUUUACCAUUGCAAAAUAAUUAUUCAAGCUCUUAACUUGAAAAUAUUAAAAUUAUUUUUAACAAUUAGCAUUUUUGUUAAAAAAAAUAACUCGGUAGUUUAUGAAUUAAAGUAUGAAAAUUGUCAUUUUCUAUGUUUUCAUAAUGAUGUAAUUGUGAAACUCCUAACCCCCCAAAAAAAAAAAAAAGGAGAAAAGAAAUUUCACCUUAAUUGGCUUUUGUCAAAGGCAUAUAUACCUUUUACUCGCAUUAGUUCUAUACCUACUUGGAUAUCCUUGGUUUUGUACAACCGAUAAUGAAUUUCAUUCAAUUUGAUCGAUUUUGUAGUUCUUUAGUCGAUUUUAAUCAUAAUAAAAGAUUGUCUAUAUUUGAAUGUUUAUGUAAAUUCAACUGAAUUAAGAAUUUUUAUAUGACAAAAAUAAAUCUUAAUUAAAUAACCUUAUUAUUGCCUUCUCUAGCUAUAGCAGUCAUAAAACUUCUCAUAAUUACAUCAUCACCACCUUCACUUUCCAAUCUUGAAGCCACCUUGCAAGAUUCCUUAACAACAUCAUUAUUCAAUUCAAAAAAAUUUCACAUAAAUUAAAUAUAUAAAAAAAAAAAAUCAUUUUUCUCAAUUUUUAUUUUUUUUCUUUUCUGAGCAUUUGUCAAGCAAAUAAAAAAUAGGCUAAAUAACUUGAAAAUAAAUUGAAUAAUAAACCAAAGGAUGGAUUGGUAAGAUUAUUUAGUAUUGUUUAAUCAUAAUAAACAAAAGAGCAUUGCAAAGAUUAUUAUAAGAUGCCUACUUAAAUCAAUAAUAUCCUCCUCACUUCCUUCCAUAUACACGAGAUUCAAAAAAUAAAAAAAUAGAAUAAGCCAUGCGCAUGAGAUUCAUUUAGUUUUAUCGAGAGAGUUGUGCCUCUCAUGUACACACACACGCCAGAUUAAAUUGAAAGAUGAAAUAAGUCAUAGAAGGCUCAUGGGGCUGCUUAAAGCCUCACAGAGAGAGAGAGAGAGAGAGAGAGAGAGAGAGAGAGAGAGAGAGAGAGAGAGAGAGAGAGAGAGAGAGAGAGAGAGAGAGAGAGAGAGAGAGAGAGAGAGAGAGAGAGAGAGAGAGAGAGAGAUGGUUUUUUUUCUUUUCUUUACUUUUGUGAAAAAACAAUCAUUUAUGCUAUGUUUGGUUGGUUCAUAGAAAGUUUGAAGGAAGAUCGUAAGACAAAAAAAAAAAAAAAAAAACAUUGCAAAGAAAAAAAAUGAUUUAAAAUUAAUAAAUUCAUUUUACAUAUAUAUUAAUUCUUUGAUAUAAGAUUAAAUAAUUUAAAAAUAUAUAAUUUUCUUAAUCAUUUUAAUUACAUUUGACUUUUUUUCAUAUAUUUUUUUCCAUAUUUUAUAUGAUAUAAUAAAAAAUGAUAAAAUCAUUUUUCUUAACAUUUUCUUCUUUUCUUGAUAAUUUUCAGGAACUAAAUAUAAAUUUAUAUUAAAAGUAAUCCUUUAUAUUAAAGUCAUACUUGGUUCUCAUAAAGUGUUCCAAAAAAAAAUGUUAAAAAAAAAUUAAUUUUCUCCUGUUUGAUUUUACUAUUAAGAAUAUGAAAGAAAGUCAAAUAUAAUUAAAAUUAGUAAAAAAAUUUAUAUAUUUUCAAGUUAUUUAAUUUUUAUAUAAAAGAGUUAAAUAAGUAAAAUGAGUUUAAAAUAUGAUAUAAAAACAAUUUAUUGACUUUUCACAUCUAAUUAUCUUAUCCUUCAUUUGUAAUACUAGAAGUAUCAAAGAAAUGAAAAAAAGGAAACCUACAUGAGAAUUUAAAAUCAUAUGUUUGAAUGAGAGUGAAAUCUCAAAUACUAAAUUACAUAUAUUUUUAUUAAUGAAGAAAAAUGAGAAAUAAUAUUUUUUUUAAAAAGGAUCUAAAUUUUUUCCCUUUACUUUUUUUACAUGUCACAAACAUGGUUCUCUUAGUUUCUAAUCUUUCCUAAUUCAUCAAAGAAUAAAUCCCCAUAGUCAAUGACACAAGUACUGCAGACAUGGCAAUGAGAAUUCUGCUAAUGAGAAGCUAGCACCAAAAGAUUUAGGUCUUCUCUUAUGACCCAUAACCAUGACAUUCAUCUCAAUGAUCAUCUCUAUGAAGACAAAAAUUCCUCGUCACAAUACCUAAGAAAUGCCAAAACAGGAACAAAACUUCCUACCAAACUUCAAGCCCAUCUGCCUACCUUUAAAAGGUGGUCCACUGGGUCAAUGCAAAAUAGACCAGCUUUUAUUACAGAGACUCCCAAUCAAUGAAUGCAGGCUGCUAAACCAAAAUAUAAAACAAUAAGAUGUUUUUAGGUUAUUGAGAACAUGAACCAAAACAAAGAAAACUUUUUUGUUUUAGUGAAAAAUAAGACAUUGAAAGGAUAUGCAGUCAUAAAACUUGCAAUUUUGUAUAUUGCAGAGUUAAAUCUCCACUUUUAAUACACUGGAAAGGGAAUAGCAGCAAGAAAAGACCAAAGCAAUUAAAAUUUCUUACUGCCAAAGCACAAUACAUCCCUACUUUACUCCAUGCUUGUAUAAGAGAACAUAGACCCAGAAAGUGACAAAAACCUAAGCAUCCAUGGUUUUCCAUAGUUAUCAAGUGGUUCACUUGGUUUAGGCAUACUGCCAAAUAAAAACAGAGCAUGACCUUGCCAGUACCAUUAGAAUAUGGCAACUAUCUGCAUCCAAAAUGUGAGCACUUAGGUUCAAUCCUCCUCGACUCCUCUUCAAUAUUUGUUUCAAACUUGAAGCUUCACGAAAAAAGAAAAUCCCUAACACACCUGCCAUCGUUAAAAAAAUUAGCAUCAACAAGCAGACAUAAGAUUCCUUGCACCUAACAUUGACAUGGACUCAAAUUAUCCAAAACUAACCUAAAUUCAUGGAGAUGAAUGCCAAUCAAGCAAAGCACGUGCCUGUGUGAUGUUUGGUCAGUCAUCUGGAGAAGCUUGGAGCACGCCCAUGAUUAGAUCUGUCACAUGAGCUGUAUUUUGGUAAUUCUGGAAUGCGGUAUUUUCUAUUUAAGAUAAUAGAUGGUGAGAAACAUAUAGUCAGAUGAAUAAUAAAACACAUACUCUAGUAUUCUACUGAUUGAUUCACCCAUUCACUAAUCAUUAAAAAGUCUAGAAAUAUAGAAGCUUAAAUUUUCGAAUUUAUGGACAUAGUAAAUAAGCUCAUAAUCAUCAUUUCUAUACAAAAUCAGGAAGUUCAAUGAGGAAGUUGCACUCAACCGCCUUAAGAUAAUAAGGACAUCAGAAUAGAAAACAAAGCUACAAAAAGUCUUAAAGCCAAGAUCAAUUUAAUUAUAGUAUUCUUCUUGGGAGUUGCAUGGUAUAAACCUUCGUUAAGACAUGGACUCUAAUUUUCUUUUCAAAGAAACAGCUAACAUCCUGAUCGGAUAAACAAUGAGAGCCAAUGCCCAGGGCCACUAACAGGAAUGUAGGCAUGGAAACAACAAUUCUGCUAAUGAGAAGCAGCACAAGAAGACCGUCACCUUCAGGAUCCAUGUCAUUGAUCCAAAUGAUCAACUCAGCAACAGUUAAAAAAAAAAAAAGUAUACAAAAAUUCAUAGUCACAGUCGAGAUCUAAGAAAUGCCCAUAAAAGAACAUAACCACAUCAAAAUUAGGACAAAACAAGUACAACUACCUAAUAAUAAAAAAAUUGACCAAAAUACUUCAUGUAAACAAAUAAAAAAAGUUGACCAAUUCAGUAUCAUAAAAUACUUCAUAUAAAAUUUUUGCUUUUAAAAUCGUAGUUUGCUAAAUGAUCCUAGUUGGUUGAUAUGGAACACAUGGAGAAGAAAAGAAAAAACAAAAAGUAUUGAGUAAUUUAGUUUGAUAAAAAUUAAAAAGAAAAUGGAAAUUUAUUCGGAGAAGUAGCAUCAAUUACCCAUGGAAUAAGUGCCUGCAGAUGUCUCCCAAAGAAUCUUAAUUCAUUCGUAAAGCUACAAUAUUGACUACAAACUAACCAAAAAGAUCAAAAACUUUAAAUUCAUGCAAAUUAAUUUAUAAUAAAACAAAAAGAAGAGAAAUUCAUUCUCAUAUACAAAUUCUAAAAGGAAGAGUGACAAGAAAAGAUUAACUAAUAAAAACUCCAAAGGGGUGUGGUGGUAUAGAAACUUCGACCUUCCUCAUUGUUGGCCUAAUUACAGCCUCAAAGAUGAUUAAAGAGCCAUUGCUCAUGUGAUUAAAAUAUGAUAACUAGCUUUGUUAAAAUGUGAAUUACCAAGAAUCAAUCUUCCUUUACUCAUCUAGAGAUGCGUAAAUUCUAGAGAUUGUCAGAAAUUCUGAAAAGUACUUGACAGCUACUUUAUGAAUUGGAACAUAAAGUUUCUGAAUAAAAUAAGCAUAGAAUUAAUUACCUGACUGUAUAUUGGUGCGGUACCACUUUCAUUAAAAUAUCACACCAUUGAUCACUAUUUUUGGAGGUGAGAGCAAGCAAUUGCAUAUAUAUGAGAUCAGGGUACCCUCUGAUUUGCAAGUAACGUCAAUAGCCUGUCCGAUAUGAAGUUCAUAAUUAUAUGAACUCUAUUGCAUUCUCUGCUUCCCCUUCAUCAGCUUGGCAACUAGGCAUUUGAAAAAAUUUGGUCUUUAAAAUCUGGAUCCAAGAAAGAAUAACCAUACAGGCACACACACCUGGACAGCCUCCCCUCUUCAUCAAACAAUUCAAUAGCUGUUAAAUCCAUGGCCGCUGGUGCCUAUGCUGCACAUGUCAUCAGGAAUUGCCUGCACAACAGACCAAGAAGAAGCAUUUGAGUGCUUAUAUGAUCUAGCAGCUCCAUCAGAAUCAAGUGUUGCCCUGUAGUAAUAGUCACUCCUUAAGUCUCUUAUGCUUAAGUCUCUCCCCAUGUGCAGGUAGGUAUCUGGGUCUGAUUGUUACUCAACCCAACCAAGCAUGGGCAUCCAUACUUGAUACUUUUCAGGUUGGUCAAAUUGAAAUGAGUUACAUAUAAUGCUCAUCUCCCGUAUCGUUUUUGAAGCUAGUUCGGCUAGACUAAUAGACAAAUAAGCCCUCAAAAUAAACUUGCCCAGGUUGAGAACAGACCUUAUAUUGAGAUAGUCCACAACCAACUCUGCUCUUAAUAUAUAAGAAAUAAUGAAAAAUAAAUAGUCAAACAAAUAAUAAAAUGCAUAACCUAAUAUCCUAUUGAUUGAUUCACCCAGUUUUUAACCAUUAGAAAGUCUGGAAAUAUAGAAGAGUGACUUUUCGAAUUCAUGAGGAUGGUGAAUAAGCUUAGAAUCAUCAUUUCUACACAAAGUCAGUUGGUUCGAUGAGGGAAUUACACUCUUAACUACUUUAAGAUAAUACAACAACAUCAAAAAUAGAAAAUUGAACUACAAAAGGUCUUAAAUUAAGAUCAAUUUAGACAUAAUAUACUUCUUGGGAGUUUCACGGUAUAAACCUUUGUAAAGAAUUAGACUCUCCUUCUUUAAGACUAUGGACCCAAGACUCAUACUCACUGAUAGAAGUGCAGGCAUGCCAAUGAGAAUUCUGCUAAUGAGAACCUAGCAUAAGAAUAUUAAUGUCUUCUCCUGUGAUCCAGAACUAUAGUCCGAAAUGGGAUCCAUGACAUUGAUGUCAAUGAUCAUCUCCAUGACAACAGAAAAUAUACAGAAAUUCCUAGUCAUAGUCAAGACCUAAGAAAAGCCAAAACAAGAACAACGAAACAUUAAAAUUGGGACAAAAACAAGUGCAUAAGCUUCCUAAUGAACAUUUAAGUCUAUUAGCUUACCUUUAAAAAGUGGACCACUUAGUUAGCACGCAAUAGACCAGCUUUUGUUACGACUCCCAAUCAAUGCAGGUUGCUAUUAUCAUAACCGAACUUUGUUCCUCAUAAGCAGUCUUUUAUGCUGAUACUGGUAACUUAAUAUGGAACAUGUACAAAAAAGAAAAGAAAUAACAAAAAGUAGUAAUUAAUUUCGUUUGAUAUUGAAUGGAGUAAAGUCACAACAUGUGCAUAUGCAAGUAUAUUAUCCUAAAAACCACUUGCAAAAGGCACCAAGUACCCAACUAAUAUCAGACUUGAAUAACCAUGAAUUACCUAAAACUGUAUCCACAUGUUCCUGCAUGAGAUAGAUACACAGAUAGUUUCAACUUUGCUCAUUUGGAAAGAUCAAUUAAAGCUACAAUGCAAAUUACCUGGGAUGAAUUUUCCUUUGUUGGAGAACUUCUCAAAUCAAACAAAUAGAGUUUGUUGCUUGCUCAAAUCUUCAACAACUGGACCAGCCAAAGACUUGUGUAGAUGUACAAUUCCUAAAGAGUGUUGAGCAUAUUAGGAGCCUUUGAAUUCUGAAAGGAGGUCAAGACCUUAACAAUGUAGAAGGUUUAAGUAAUUCUGUUAUCAAACAUGGUAAAAUUGAUUAAACAAAACCUUGAACAGUGAGGUAUUUUCUUCUAAAAAAGAUGAGUCCACCAUUGUGUGGACUAUUGAGAAUAUAAAAAAUACGACAUCAGAAUUAUAAGUAACUAAAAUUACCUACCAAUAAGCAGCUAGCUAGAAUAAAUCCAUGGUUUUCUCCAUGCCUGUAUUAGAGAAAUGACAAAGAAAGUGAGGAAAAAAAAUCAAAGCAUUCAUGUUUUUCGACAGUAAUUAAGUGGUUCACUUGGGUUAUGCAUACUGCCAAAGCAUGAAAAUAUGAGUACCAUUAAAAUAUGAUCUGAACUGUCUGUGUCAAAAUGUCAGCACCUAGGUUGAAUCCUCAUCUACGGCUUUUCAAUAACAUUUGUCCUAGGGUUGAAGCUUCAAGAAGAAGAAAUCUUAAAUCAAAUAAAUGGAGCUAAGGAAUUAUGCAGAUAUAUUCUUGAGAUUAGAAAUUUGGAUGGCUACAUCAGGAAUUGGAACAUAAAUUUUCUAACAAAAUAAGUUCAAGCACAAAGCAAUUACCUGCCGAUAUGUUGGUGCAGUGCCAUUUUCAUUAAAAUAGCACAUCAUCGAUCACUAUUUUUGGAAUGUGAGAUAUAAAACGCCAUUCUUGCCCUUUCUCAAAUUGGCACUGUUGUUCCAGUGAAGGACACUUGAGGACAUACAGAUAAGAGAGGGAGUUUGGCCGUCUCUCUUUUGUCAAGUAUUGGAGCUUAGGGCACUUGUAGAGAUCUAAGGUUUCAAGAGUGGUGAGGUGGUGAAGACCCGCUUAAUAAAAAUUAAUAAAAUAAAUGAAUUUAUUAUAUCUGGAAUAUGUAUAUAUGUCUUAUCUUAGGAUUAAUAUAUAUUAAAUAUCCAUUAAUAGAAAACCCAUUUUUUCUCUUUCCACAAUCUAAUCCUAAUACGAAAAAUCUUGAAAUAUUAUUGGUUUUCUAGCUUUCUUUUAAUUUCUCUAAAAUUUUUCAUUAAGUAAAUAAAUUUGGAAUCAAACUAUACCUCAUAGGUAAAAUUUAUUAAUUUUUAAAAUUAAUUUCAAACUCAAAAACCAAUUUAAUUAGUACUAAAAAGUCAAAAACACAAUAAUAUUAUAAAUUCAUAGGUCAAAAUUUAUUUAAAAUAACUUGGUUAGCUUCUUCUUCACAUAUAACCUAUUUUUAUAAAUUUUUUUCAUGAAGCAAAUAAACUUCAAAUUAAUCGAGACUUGAUGUGUUGAAUUCAUUAAUGAGUUUAAUAAUUUUUAAAAAUAAUUUAAAACUUAAAUAAUUAUGUAAUUAAUACCAUCAAUUUAUAAAUAAAAAUUGGUUUCAAAUGACUCUAUUUUUUUUUAUUUUCUAUGUAAAAUUAUUAUUUUCUUAUUUUUUUGUUUCUAUUAUGCAAAUGGACUCCAAAUUAAACAAGACUUAAUGUCAUAUUUUUAUCAAUGAGUCUAGUAAUUUUUAAAAAUAACUUAAAACUUAAAUAGUGAACCAAUUACUAUUAAAAAUUUAUGGACAAAAAUUGAUUUAGAAUAAUUUUAUUUAUUCUUUUUCUUUACAUAAUCAUUAUUGUCCGAUUUUUUAAACAAAUAAACUUUAAAUUAAACAAGACUUAAUACAUCGGAUUCAUUAAUAAGUUUAAAAAAUUUUAAAAAUAAUUUAAAAUUCAUAUAAUAAACUCAUUAAUAUAAGAAAUUUAUGAAUUAAAAAUGAUUCAUAAUGACUAUUAUUUGUAUUUUUGGUUUUAUUUUAAAAAUAAUUUUUUAAAAAUAAGCGUUAGAAGACAUGUUCAAACGGACCCUUAGCUUUUAAAAAACAAUGCAAUUAUGCAUUUUACAAUCUUUUCUAAAGGUAAUUACAAAUUGUUUUAGUUGUUUUUCCACCUUUCAACCCAAAAAAUUGUUGAAAAUAUAAAUAAAAAAAAAUAUUGUGAUAUUCAACUAUUUCACUUGAAGUUACCCAAAUAUGAAAAUAAGGAUUGAAGGGUGCAAUCAUGCAACCCAAUGGCAUUGAUUUAACAUAGGUUUUGUCCAAUUUACAACCAUAUAUAUUAGUGCAAUCACUAAUAAAAACUCAUUUUAAUGAUCAAGAUAAGUCAUUCUUCUAAUUAUGAGGUAGUAUGCUACAAUUUUAGAUUGAUUGUUCAAGUUUAUGAAUUGGUUGUAAACAAUCCAUCAACUUACAAUAAACUUAUGACUUGGAUCUUUCGUAUAACUUUUUAUACACUAAAAUCUUAUACAAUGCAAGUGAUGUAAACCCGAGUGUUCAAAUAAAUAUUAAUGUAAAUAAUGGCAGAAUAAUGGAAAUAGAAAUCAUAAUAUUAUAUAUAUAUUUAUGAAAUUUCACUUAGUUAAAUCAUGUUAUAUUUUUAAAGGCUUUGAUUUUUUUAAUUGGAUCUUGGGCUUUUAGGAUUUGAUCUUGGGUUUUAGUUGUUUCAUUCGAUGUUAGGCAUUUAUAAUUUUAUUUGGGAACAAUUCAUUUGAUCGAGGCUUCAAUUUUUUGAUGUGGGCUAUAGGCUGUGAUUAUUUCGGGCUUUGGGUUUUUGUGAUUUGGGCUAGUUUUGAUCAUUUAAUUUGUUGUUUUGGGCUUUGGUUUGGAUUGAUAUUUGAUUAGGCUUUGGGUAUUGGAUUUGUUGUUUCUUAAUUUGGAAAUAAUAUUUGACAUUGGCUUUUGGGCUUCGCUUUUAAUAUGUAGUUUUGACCUUGGUUAAUUCCUAUUUGAGCCCCUGGUCGGAUUAUUUCAUUUUGGCCUAUUGAUUUGUUGACUUGGACUUUGUGUUUGUGCUUGUUUGUGAUUUAGGCUUGGUCUAUUGUUCUGGGGUUUUAGUUUGAUUGUGGGCAUUUGUGUAUUACUUUGGGCUUGGCCUUUAUAAUUGUUUUGAAUUUAUUUAUGGUAUGGGCUUGGUUGUUUGAUUUUGACCUUCUAUAUACUCUAUUUGACCUGGGCUUAGGGCUUUCAUUUAGUUUAUUUGAGCUUGGUUAAUUUGAUUUGGAUUUGGGCCUGUUAUAACUUGUAAACUAUUUAGGCUUGCUUUUCUUUUAUUGAACAGAAUCAACAAAAGUAAGGUGUAUAUUUUUUUAAACAAGCAGAAUACGCGCAUUCAAAGUUUUGAAAAAUAGUUUUGAAAAAUUAAUUUUAAUCUUUUUUAUGUAUAUAAAUAUUUUCCAAAAAUAACUUUAUGAUAUAUAUUUCUUCAAGCAAUCAUAAACGAAAAAAAAAAAAAACAAAUGAAAAUAACCGAAAACAACUCAUAUAUUUUUUCAAAAAACACCUAAACCGGCUUGCUUUUUUUUUUUUUUUUUUAUCAAACAGUUUUCCUAUUUUCUUGUUCUUAAAUAUAGAUAAACAAAAGUGGUUCAUUGUGACCCUAUCAUUUGUCUUUUGUUUUUUAAUUUUAAAAUAGGUUUUAAAAACAAGUAGAAAAAUAUGAUGAAACGAACCCUUAUCUUUUAAAAAAUAAGGCAAUUCAAAAUACAUUUUAAAAGGCAAAUUAUAAAUUUCUUUAGUUGUUUUCUCAUCUUUGAAUCGAGAAAAUUUGUUUGUACGAUCUUUCCAUCUAAUUAGUCCCUUGAAAUAUUUGUCCCCUUUUUCAGUAUUAUCAAUAUAUUUAUGACUAUUUGAAUGAAAAUAUAAGAAAAUAUCAUAAAUAUUCUCAUGAAACUCCUUGAUAGCAAUUAUUUCACUUAUCAGUGAAAAUAAAGUUACCCAAAUAUAAAAAAGGAUCGAAGGAUGCAACCCAAUGGCAUUCAUCGAGAUGGCAAAGUUUGAUACAAUUUGCAAAUACUUCUAUAUAUACUCAUCUUAUCUUAUAUUUCAUUGAAUAUAAGAUAAGAUAAAUUAAUGGAUAUUUAUCAUAUAGUAUCCCUACCAAAAAUGUCCCCUCCUUUAUUUGAACUCAUGGUAGGUGAAAGAAUGUAUUUUCGUGCAAAUGAUAACAAGGCAAUGAUUCGAGAUCAUGAAUAGAAAGAAAUUCCAAAAGCGCUACACAGUAACCUUCCUCAUGGUUGGCCUUAGAGCUGAAUCCUCCUGAAUGCACCAAAUGGACACCAUCACUAGCCUCUCCAACCUCUUCAUAUCAUUCAUAAUUUGCAUCCUCAUCAUCUUCCACCAACUUCUCCAACUUCCUUUGCACAAACAGUUCAUAAUCUCGAUCCAUUAGAGCUUCCUCUCCGUCUUCCAUAUGAAAGAGGAAAUCUUCUUCUAACACAUUGUCUCUAUAAAUGGCUACUUUGCAUAAGCAAUCCUCUUUACAUGACUCUUUAUACUUCUCCUGCUCAACCAAUUUGUGUUGUUUAAUUCUUUCAACUCCACUUCAUCCUUCGCUUUCUUCACUUUCUUCGCUUCAUCUUCAUCUGCUUGGCAACUCCACUUCACUCUCACUCUCAAGAACAAAGUUACCGAGCAUGGCAGCAUGAGUAACCCCUUUAACAGCCGACUAAGUUCUCCAAAGCUCAUAUCCUCAUUUGUCAGCGAGUUUGAACUCCCCAUUUUUGGUGAGUUCAAUUUUUGUACCCUUCUGCCACUUCUUUAUCUGCAUACCAAAUUAUUGUUUGGUAAUUCAUGUUCGCUAAUUGCAUAUAGAACAUAAUUAGCCCUUUUAAAAAUAAUAAUUAAUAUGAUCAAUCAUCUUCUAAGAUGGCAUGUUACAUAAAAGGUAACAAGAUUAUGCUACUUUUUAAAAUUUUUCCUUAGGGUGUCAAUGUCAUAAUGUGGGUACAAACUGACAGUAUAGGAACAAGUACAUUGAUAAAAAUUAAAAGAGAAAAAUUCGAAAUUUAUUCAGAGAAGUAGCAUCAAUUGCCUAGGGAAUAAGUGCCUGCAGAUGUUACUCCUUAGUCCCCAGUAUGCUUGAAACAAACUGGAGACUGAUCAGUUUCUUACAGUAUCAGAAGACGGCAGCCUAGCUAUAGCUAACCACACAAAGAGAUUGAAGAACACUGAGCUGCCAAGUAGUAGUGACCCAACAAGAAUCAAGGUAGACUUAUCUGGGCCUGUCUGCAAGCCUUUUGCUCUGUUUUCCACAGGAAAGAAGGAAUCUCUUCUGCCAACACAUUGUCUGUAUAAAUGGCUACUGCACAGAAGCAAUCCUCUUCACAAGACUCUUUAAAACUUCUCCUUGUCAACAAUCCGUCUAAUCCAAAGUUCAUAAUUGGAGAUUUGCCAGUCUAUGUUGUUAUUCUAUGAACUCUACUACCUGCUUGGCAUCUGGACAUUGGAAAAUUUGGUCUUUAAAAUAUGGAGCCAAGAAAGAAUGCCUACAUAGGCACUCACAUCUGAACAACCCCCUCUCCCCAUCAAACAAUACAAUAGCUGUUGAAUCCACAAAUCCCGCUGCCACUGCCACUUGCAGCUGCAUUGCAAUUGUCAUCAGUAAUUGCCUGCAGAACAGACCAAGAAGUAUUAAUGCAGUUCCAAUGGUUUGCAGUGUUCUGUUUUCGGUGCUUAUAUAAUUAAAAUCAAGUGUUGUCUUGUAUUAAAAUCACUCCCAAAAUCUAUCUUCUGAUAAGAGGUUAACUUAUGUGGCAAGAUGGUAUCAGUGGGAUUCUUGAAGCACGCCCAGGCGCAAAUAACUAAAGCCAUAUUUUCAAAAAAAUU
rnacentral:lncRNA from 1 species